CAUAAACUCAGAUCAUCGGCAAGAGUUUGAAGAACAAAGUUUGGGUGAAUGAAUUCAGGUACGGAGGCUUCUCAUUGGGCGCCCGGAGCACGCAGGUCCUUCCACCAGCCAACGAGGUCGACGACGCCAUCGAGCGAGUCCGAAAGAUCUUUGAGUUAC